rnacentral:rRNA from 1 species
UACAGGGGGUGCAAACGUUGCUCGGAAUCAUUGGGCGUAAAGCGCACGUAGGCGGUUCGUUAUGUCGGAUGUGAAAGCCCCUUGGCUUAACCGAGGAAGUGCAUCCGAAACUGGCGAGCUAGAGUACUAAAGAGGAUCGCGGAAUUCCCGGUGUAGAGGUGAAAUUCGUAGAUAUCGGGAGGAACACCGGCGGCGAAGGCGGCGAUCUGGGUAGAUACUGACGCUGAGGUGCGAAAGCGUGGGGAGCAAACAGG